UACGUAGGGGGCGAGCGUUGUCCGGAUUUAUUGGGCGUAAAGAGCGUGUAGGCGGCCAGGUAGGUCUGGUGUGAAAACUCGAGGCUUAACCUCGAGAUGUCAUCGGAAACCAUUUGGCUAGAGUCCGGAAGAGGAGAGUGGAAUUCCUGGUGUAGCGGUGAAAUGCGCAGAUAUCAGGAAGAACACCAAUGGCGAAAGCAGCUCUCUGGGACGGUACUGACGCUGAGGCGCGAAAGCGUGGGGAGCAAACAGG
rnacentral:rRNA from 1 species